GCAUCUCGCUUACACCGAGAAAAUGUCCGUGAAAAUCAGACCAUUCCGA
rnacentral:tRNA from 1 species